rnacentral:tRNA from 1 species
GUGCCCGUAGCUCAGCCGGUAGAGCACGUGACUUUUAAUCAUGGGGUCCCGGGUUCGAAUCCCGGCGGGCACACCA